UGAAGCGCACAAUUCCAGAAAGCAGUCGCUGACGAAGGAAUGUAAGUCACUUACCCAAGAGAUGCCAGUCUCCUCUGUCCUUCCUAGGUGACUCUCAGUCCCUGCCUCCCAUCCUCCUGCCCAGGGCACAGUUAAGAUGGAGCAGUAGAGCGGGUGCCCCUGGCAGCCUGUGGCACAACACGACUGCAGAGUUCGGAAUCAUUCACAGGGAAUCCUCCAUCCUGCCCAGUCUCUCCCAGAAGACGGGACCCAGACUUUUAAAGAAAGGAAGGAAUCUUCAGCAGUAAACUGCUUUCACCACAACCUGAAAAGCUACUGGAGUAAUGACAAUGGAUUUCUUGUGAUGUUGAUGUAUAAGAAAGUACAACUUUGCCUGGCGUGAUGGCGCAUGACUCUAAUCCCAACGCUCAGGAGGCAGAUAUGGGAGGAUCACCAUGAAUUCGAGGCCACCCUGAGACUACAUAGUUAAUUCCAAGUCAGCCUGGAGUGAGAUUCUACCUCAAAAAAAGAAAAA